GACGAACGCUGGCGGCGUGCUUAACACAUGCAAGUCGAACGGAAAGGCCCUGCUUGCAGGGUACUCGAGUGGCGAACGGGUGAGUAACACGUGGGUGAUCUGCCCCGCACUUCGGGAUAAGCCUGGGAAACUGGGUCUAAUACCGGAUAGGAGCCAUUUUUAGUGUGAUGGUUGGAAAGUUUUUUCGGUGUAGGAUGAGCUCGCGGCCUAUCAGCUUGUUGGCGGGGUAAUGGCCUACCAAGGCGGCGACGGGUAGCCGGCCUGAGAGGGUGGACGGCCACAUUGGGACUGGGAUACGGCCCAGACUCCUACGGGAGGCAGCAGUGGGGAAUAUUGCACAAUGAGCGCAAGCCUGAUGCAGCGACGCCGCGUGGGGGAUGACGGCCUUCGGGUUGUAAACUCCUUUCGCUAGGGACGAAGCUUUUUGUGACGGUACCUAGAUAAGAAGCACCGGCUAACUACGUG
rnacentral:rRNA from 1 species